ACUCCUUUAAUUUUUGUACAUAUUUCUUGAGAUAUGUUAAAUUCCACCAAUAGUGCAACAUUACUUUAUGAAUGCAGGAGUUGAAGGGAUUGGAAAUGUUCGUGCUGUGCAACUCAUCUCUAAAUUUGGCACAUUGGAGAACUUGUUGAAAUGUGUUGAUCAAGUUGAAGGAGAACGUAUUAGAGAGACCUUGAUAACUCAUGCUGAUCAAGCUAUCCUAAGCAAGAACGUGGUAU